AGUUUGGUGCCAGUAGUUGUGGUAAUUUUAGCUCCAAUAGUGUAUAUUAAAGUUGUUGCAGUUAAAAAGCUCGUAGUUGAACCUUGGGCCUGGCUGGCCGGUCCGCUUUAUCGCGUGUACUGGUCCGGCCGGGUCUUUCCUUCUGGGGAGCCGCAUGCCCUUUAUUGGGUGUGUCGGGGAACCAGGACUUUUAUUUUGAAAAAAUUAGAGUGUUCAAAGCAGGUUUAUGCUCGAAUACAUUAGUAUGGAAUAAUAGAAUAGGACGUGUGUUCUAUUUUGUUGGUUUUUAGGACCGCCGUAAUGAUUAAUAGGGAUAGUCGGGGGCAUUAGUAUUCAAUUGUUAGAGGUGAAAUUUUUGGAUUUAUUGAAGAUUAAUUAUUGCGAAAGCAUUUGCCAAGGAUGUUUUCAUUAAUCAGUGAAUGAAAGUUAGGGGAUCGAAGACGAUCAGAUACCGUCGUAGUCUUAACCAUAAACUAUGCUGACUAGGGAUCGGGCGAUGUUAUUUUUUGACUCGCUCGGCACCUUAUGAGAAAUCAAAGUUUUUGGGUUCUGGGGGGAGUAUGGUCGCAAGGUUGAAAUUUAAAGAAAUUGACGGAAGGGCACCACCAGGAGUGGAGCCUGCGGCUUAAUUUGUAAUAUGGGGAAACUCACUAGGUCCAGAUAUAAUAAGGAUUGAUAGAUUGAGAGUUUUUUCUUGAUUUUGUGGGUGGUGGUGCAUGGCCGUUUUUAGUUGGUGGAGUGAUUUGUCUGCUUAAUUGCGAUAACGAACGAGACCUUAACCUGCUAAAUAGCCAGGCUAGCUUUGGCUGGUCGUUGGCUCCUUAGAGGGAUUUUUGGCUCAAGCUGAUGGAAGUUUGAGGCAAUAACAGGUCUGCGAUGCCCUUAGAUGUUUUGGGCCGCACGCCCGCUACACUGACAGAGCCAACGAGUUUUUUCCUUAACCGAAAGGUUUGGGUAAUCUUGUUAAACUCUGUCGUGCUGGGGAUAGAGCAUUGUAAUUAUUGCUCUUCAACGAGGAAUUCUUAGUAAGCGCAAGUCAUUAGCUUGCGCUGAUUACGUCCCUGCCCUUUGUACACACCGCCCGUCGCUACUACCGAUUGAAUGGCUCAGUGAGGCUUUCGGACUGGCCCAGGAAGAGUGGUAACACUCAUCUAGGGCCGGAAAGUUGUUUAAACUUGGUCAUUUAGAGGAAGUAAAAGUCGUAACAAGGUUUCCGUAGGUGAACCUGCGGAAG
rnacentral:rRNA from 1 species